rnacentral:lncRNA from 1 species
AGACGUCGGCAGGCUGGAGGUAGAAGGUGGAGUUGAGCAGCUCUUCCAGCCUGCGCGGAACGUCGUUCUCCCGGUAGUACUCCAUCGCCUGCUGCUUCAGCUUCUGCAGCUCCCUAGUGGUCCCACAGCUGCGGCCGCCGCCUUCUUCCUCCAUGAUGGAGAGUGUUGGCGUGUACGGAUUCUGUGGGUGUAAAGCAAAGAACAAAAUGAAGUGUGAUUCAAGGUGGGAAAUAGCCGCUUCAGGCUGCAGCAGCUACCACACAAAGAAGCAGUCCUAUGGCAAUGACAGGACAUCUGUGUCCAGGAUUUGGAUUUGACGAACUGGCAGUUCCUGCAGGGAUGACGGUACUCCCUAGUUGUGUCUGAAUUGGACGCACCAGCACUUGAGCACACACAAACGCACGUGAACAGACGGAACAUGUUAUGGGCCUGUUAGCCAAGGAAUGACAGAAUUAAUCCAUGGGCAUUUGCGGCCAGUGUUGUGUUAAACUAAAGGGAAAAAGUGAACUGGAAAAAGCAAUGUUUGUUUUAUGAAAAUCUCAGACCCAAUCCUUAGGUGACAGUUCUGGAAAUGAGGGGUGUCUAAAACAAAGGGCAUCUGAAACUUCGGUUUUUCAGCUUCCUUUCCUUGUCUCAUGACCUCUUUCCUACCCGCUGCCUCUGUUUUCUCUAAUAUGGAACAGUGAAAAUGGGGGCCAGCAAAACAGAUUGCUGAUGUCUGUUGAUUUUAUCAAAGGAAGGUUAGAUUGAGUAAGAUGGCAUAAAUAAGCACACAUAGGACAAUACCUGGCAUAUAUCAGGUGCUCAAUAGCAGUGAAUUCUCUCCCUGCUGUCAUGAAUUCUUGAAGGUUGGAGACCAUGCGCUGUUCUGCGUGCCAAGUUAUUUUUUCGGCCUGAUAGCAGGUGAGCUACUGAGUGAAGACAGAGACUGGACGCUAAUUCAGCUCUGAAUCUUCAGCACCUGGCAUGGAAGGUGCACAGGACAUAUUUGAAAAAGGAGAAUUAAUAGAAUUGACCAAUAGGCUGACCUCCUGAAUGAUGACUGAGCAAAUUGAUCUAGAGGUAUUCAAAACAGUUUAGUUGACUGUCCCAAACUUUCUCAGACCUCUUCUGCCACUGACUUCCCUGAAAAGACCCUUUGCAGCCAGGCACGGUGGCUCAUGCCUGUAAUCCCAGCAUGUUGGGAGGCUGAGGUGGGCGGAUCACGAGGUCAAGAGAUUGAGACCAUCCUGGCCAACGUGGUGAAACCUCGUCUCUACUAAAAGUACAAAAAUUAGCUGGGUGUGGUGGCACGUGCUUGUAGUCCCAGCUAGUUGGGAGGCUGAGGCAGGAGAAUCGCUUGAACUGGGGAGGCGGAGGUUGUAGUGAACCAAGAUCAUGUCACUGCACUCCAGCCUGGCAAUAGAGCGAGACUCUGUCUCAAAAAAAAACCAAAAAAACAAAAUCAACCCUUUUGCAUUUUUGUCCUAUCCUGUUUUCCGUCCCCUUGAGACCGUAUCACACGUUCUUUUUCCUCUUUGGUGACCUUCUUUGUCUUUCUUGCUGCUCCUGUACACUGUUGUUUACUCACACUGCUUUUAUUCUGAGCUCUCAUAUCUCUUCUAUUUCUGGUUCUGACGCCUAUCUUGUCUAUGCCUCGCACACUCACCUCCGACUCGGAGUCCUGACCUGCACAGCUGCGAUUGCGGUUUGCACACUUUGAGGGUGAACAGUUGUCAUGCAGCCCUUUUGAGUGCUAAAAAGUGACCACUUAAGAUUUUCCUCGUGGUUAGGAAGAUGAGUAUUUUAAAAUCAUUCUGGAGGAGAUUAGUGGUAAAGAAAACCUUCCUCAGCAACUAAAUCAUUGUGGAAAAAUAAGCCAAUUAGUCACUAAAACAAAAACCUUUUGAAGACUUGUGAACAGAGGAAAGAACAUGUGAAUUACAGGUUUUCUGUUUUGUGGCAUUGAUAGACUCCAGUAGUAUUCAUGAUCGCUGAUCAUCGCGAUGGGGACCCCGGAAAGGUGAAAUUAUGUUCAGUUGAAUAUUACCUAACCCUUCUCAAAGGACAAUUUGAUUUUGUUAUUCCAUUGUUAAGGGCUUUUUGGUGGCCCUUCGAGAUCUGGCUCUGGCUUCUCUUUGACCUUGAACCCUCACUCUGGUUGUGCUGAUCUGCUGACCGUCCUCCGGACACGGUAGGGUGCUCCAUGCCACAGGGCCUUUGAACAAACCUUUCUUAUCCUUGGAAUAAAUGCCUUUUCUUCCUUUUGUUCCCCUGCCAAACACAUGCUAUUAGGAAAGAUUCAACCCCAUGUCAUCACCUCCACAAAGCUUCUCCUGACACCUCCCAAGUUAGAUUGACCUUUUUCUCUUUUGUGUCCCCCACUGUCGAACUUGAUGUUCUUGUCAAUGACAACAAUAGUGGUAACAAUGAUGGUUUCCUUUCAUUGAGUGCCUUUUGGUUCCAGUAAGUGUAAGUGCUUUCACUUGUUAUAUCAUUUAAGCCCUGCCACCCUAUGAAGAGGCCACUAUUAUACAUACAGUCAUGCAUUGCUUUAUGACAGGGAUAUGUUCUGAGAAAUGCAUUAUUAGGCAAUUUCAUCAUUGUGUGAACAUCAUAGAAUGUACUUCCACAAACCUAGAUGAUAUAGCCUGCCUCACAACUAAGCUAUUAUAUGCAGGACAGUCUGCUGCUAGCUGCUUCUAAGCUACAGACCAUAUAUAUGUAUAUAUGUACAUAUCCUCUCCCUGCCCCUCUUGCUCUUUAUAUAUAUAUGCAUAUACCUAUAAUAUAUGCAUAUUUAGAUAGGCUUUUAUAUGUAUAUUGUAUAUAUGUACAUAUAUACAUUUAUUUUUUGAGACAGGGUCUUGCUCUGUCUCCCAUGCUGGAGUGCAGUGGUAUGAUCACGGCUCACUGCAGCCAUGACCUCCCAGGCUCGAGGGAUCCUCCCAGCUCAGCCUCCCAAGUAGGUGGGACUACAGGCAUGCACCACCACAUCUGGCUAAUUUUUGAAUUUUUUUUUGUAGAGAUGGGGUUUCACCAUGUUGCCCGGUUCUCAAACUCCUAGGCUCGAGUAAUCCACCCAACUUUGCUCCCAAAGUGGUGGGAUUAUAGGUGUGAGCCACCGCAACCAGCCCAUAUAUGCAUAUUUAAUAUACAUGUGUAGCAUAUACAUACACAUAUACACAUCUAUGCAUAUAAAUUAACAAUAUGUAUAUAUGUGCAUAAAUUCACAUAUAUUUUCUGUAUAAAGACAGCAAGAGAGGCAGGCGGAGAAAGAAUCAGUUGCAGUCUGGAGGAAUAUACGUGUGUUACAUGGUUUCCCUGCCUUUAAAUUCUCUGUUAAUCUGUAUUCCUUGUAAAGUAGAUGACAGCAUGUAUCUUGGCCUACAUGUUUCUAAAGACAAACCUCUAAGCUCUUGAAGUUCUGCCAUGGUGUAUCAUAGUACAUUGAAGUCAGAAAGCCCAUUAGAGGAGGAGGAUGCCUGGCUAGAAUAGUGUUCUUGAGUUUUUCCAUGUGUAUUGUCUCAGGUAGGAAGAUGACAAGUCCUACUUUGUUCUUGUGUGAUUCCCCAUCAUUCAGUCUGUGGAGGCUGAGCUUGUUAAUGGUGGUGAACACGAGUUUCGUUCUUUGCCAGGAGUGCCCACCAGUGCCCAUAACGCCCUCCCGGAAUGUGCCGGGCAGUAUGUUUAGGGUAAGACUGACUAACGACCCAACACUGACAACGGCCUUAGCACAAACCCAAAAGGCUCUGCUAGAGCUCAGAGGCAGCCACGAGAUUGGGAGAGCUGGAUGACGGUUUGCUAAGAGAAUUCAAGCUGUCAGUCCUCCUGUGUAUCCUUUGGAUUCUGUUAUGCUGUUGCUUGUAGAGGGAAAAAGUUCAUGUGUCAUUUAUAUACAAGUGCCCAUUUGACAUUGAGUGAGUCACAUUUAUUUUACCCUAUAUGAACACAAAAUCUCUGUUUUAAAAUCAGAUUCUAGAACUUUAAAAGGGUUCUUAUGUAUUGUUCUGAAGUAACUCAGUGGCUCUUGGUGAGCCCGCCCCACCUGGCCUGUUGGGUGACCCUCUUCCUGCCCCCUCACCGGUUCUGCUCCUUGUUCCUCUCUCUGCGCCUUGGCUCCCCUUCCCAGAGCCCUUCCUCUUGGUCUUGCCAAAUCCUGCCCAUCCUUUGAGAAACGCUUAUGCCCAUGGCUGUCUUACCCCUUCCUGCUUUGCUGUGGUAUCCAUUAGUCUGUUCUCGCGCUGCUAAUAAAGACAUACAAAAGACUGGGUAAUUUAUAAAGGAAAGAGGUUUAAUGGACUCACAUUUCCACAUGGCUGGGGAGGCCUCACAAUCAUGGUGGAAGAUGAAGGAAGAGCAAAGGGACUUUUUAUGUGGCGGCAGGAAAGAGAGCUUGUGCAGGGAAACUCCCAUUUAUAAAACUGUCAGAUCUCAUGAGACUUAUUCACUACCAUGGGAACAGUAUGGGGGAAACUGCCCCCAUGAUUCAAUUAUCUCCACCUGGCCCUGCCCUUGACACGUGGGGGUUAUUACAAUUCAAGGUGAGAUUUGGGUGGGGACACAGCCAAAAUAUAUCUGGCAUAUGCAAUCUGAUCACCCCUUCCAAACUUCUCUCUUAAAAAUGCAACAUUCUGACAGCAUGUGGAGGCUUGGAUGGAAACACGGUAAAAAUUACAACAUUGUUUCUCACACUUUUGCACCAAAGUGAUACAAAUCGCAGAGCUGAGGCAACUGGUGUUUCUGCGAGAAUGGAAUGGAAUGUGGUUGAAAUUUUGUGUUGUUUUUUAAAUAUUUGCAACUAUUUGUCAUUCUUCCAUAAAAAUCAGAAUUCAUGGUUGUGUACAUAAAAGUAAUUUUCUAAAGUGUGCCUUUGUGUGUCCUUGAUGCAGGACCAGCUUGGACUUGUGACCUGUGCAGUCACACAAGGCCCUGCACGUGGUUUAAUGCUCCGCUGUCACCAUCUUGAAAUUCUUAAUACCUUGAACGAGGGGUCCUGUAUUUUUGUUUCAUGCUGGGCCCAGCAAAUUACAUAGGUGGUCCUCCCUUUGGGGUUCUGCAAGGCAACUAACUGUGAAGCAUGCAUCGAGUUACAGUUUUAAAUCUUAACAUGACUUCAUCUGUUAUGGCCUACCCAGGACAGUGCAGGAAGCUGGGUGCCCUUUAAGAAAGGAGUCUGGGCUGAAGGAGAUGGAGAGGUAGGAAGGGUUGGGGUCCUGAAUGCCAGCUUUGCCAGGGCCAUGCCUCGCAGCCAUGUCCUUCCUGCCUGUCUACCACAGGCCAGGAGGUGAACAGUCAUUCUGUAAUUCACAUGCAGUAAAGCUUUUUGAGAGUUCUGUUUUUCACCUGGAACUGCCAAGUCAUUUGGUGAAGAUUUCCUGCUUGUUUGAAGUCUGCAGAGAAAAACCGCUAAUGAAACAUACCACAUUUGGAAAUGAACUUUUUAAAGUAUGUAUCCAUAAGUUCUUAUUUCAGCUCUUCCUUUUAUUCUAUAAAUGCCUGUCUUAUUUCAAAAGGGACUUUCAGGCAGAGGUAUAACAACAUAAUAAGAACAAUACAUUUGAGAAACAGAACUGAAAAGAAACUAAGGCAAAGUCAGGGGUAAAAUUGGAUCACAAAUGCAUACCACGAGGUCUUACUGAAUUUAAAAUUUACAAAUGCCUGUAAGCUUCCCAGUCGCAGAACAAAGGAACACAAUUGGUCAUAUCUAUAUGCAGCAGGAGAAGGGUUGGGCGGACAGCAGCUCGCAACUUGGCUUCCACCGUCUGCCGCAGAGAAUUUAGAGGCGUCUUGGGAACAUGAGUGGGGCUAUCCAGGAAUCUGUUUACCUGAGGGACUAAGUCCUGUCCCUUGGACAUCCCCAAAUAGUCCAGAAUGAAGCUUUAUUUGGAGAAGAGGGGCAGUUCGGAGCACUUCAUGACGUCUUGUCACCCAGUUUGUCCCACAUCUGCCUUCAAACUGAGUGGGACUUGAGCAAACAACACCCAGAGCUUCACUCUUCCCCACCACUGCGCUGGCCCUGCGGUGUUGUGAGUUGGUGGCUCCAGUGACAUGGCAGUGGCGGUGAGCCUGGCGCUGGCAGUGUUGGUGACACUCACGUGGUGGUGGUGGCACCAGCACUGGCGGUGUCUGUACCAGCAGGAGAGGUAGCACCGACACCUCCAAAGUGGAUGCAGCAGCAUCACAGUGGCUACAGGUGCCAAUCGGCUGUAGUAGGUGUGGAGGCAGUGGCUGGGAGUGGCUCGCAGCAAGGGCGAGCUCUCUGGACAACUCCAUGGGUGACAGAAGCCUGGACACGGGAGACCUUGGGGAGCCUUAUCCAAGGAGGUGCUUGAGGCUCCCCCUUGAGGAAGACCUCUCCAUUGGUGGGGGAAUUUGGAGCCAAAGAAAGCUCCUUAUGUUGUCAAAAUGUCCCUUUUUUAACCUUAGGAUAUUGUGACCCCUGAAGGUAUUAAUGAUAUUCUAGAGCAUUUGAAAGACAACAGCCAACUAGCUGGUUAAGCGCAGCUCAGUUUUUCCCCAGUGUGUGUGGGUGGCUGAGCACACAUUCAUUAAUUCAGUGAUUCAUUCAGCCAACAUCUGCGGAACCCCUGCUGGCUUCUGGAGUCAGAUUGCGGGGAUCUGAAUCGGGCUUGCCACUUACUAGUCUAUGACCUCGAGCAAAUGACGUGAUUCCUCUAAUACCCAGUUUCCCCAUCUGUAAUAUGAAAUGUGAAUACUAAGUAUCCGCCUCAUUGGGUUUUAGGAGAAUCAAAUGCAUGUCAAGUGUUUAACAUGGUGCCUGGCACAGAUUAAACAUCCAAGAAGUGUGAGUUAUGAUUAAAGGCUGUGAAAUGUACAAAGAGCCACAUAGUCCCCCAUUCAUUCAAGCAUUUUCUGUCCAUAUAAGGAAAUGCUACAUAGCCCAACUCCAGAAGGCUACACAUUAACUGGGGGUAUCACACAGUAGAGAAAUUAUGGGUGAUUUGAUUUGAUUAUUUAUCUGCUUUUUAGGAAUUUUCCAGUGUAUGUGAACUGUUUGUGAGAUCUUAAAACAGAAAGAAAAGCAACCCCAUUUGCCCUUCCCUUUGGUACUUCUGUGACACCCGUGUCGUCCAUCAGUUCCCAUGCAGGCAGGGGCGGUGACACUCACGCAUCUGUAGAUGGCUCAGACUCUCAGAAACUUCUUUCUUAGAGGAUCUGCUUGUAGUUUCUGGCUUUUACGUUUCAUUCAUUAUUCAUUCAUUCGUUCAUUCAAGAAAUACUUAUUAAGCACCUCUUGUCUGCCAGGCACAUUGAUAAGUUCUGGUGAGUGAAAGCCAAUGGCUCCCUUGAAGGAGCUGGUAAUUUAUCAGGGUUCUCAGACUGUCAUCCAAUAAUUAAAUAAAUAUGUCACGACAGAUGGAAGUGAGAUGAAGGCAAGGAACUUGGUGCUGUGAAGGUGGACAGCAGAGAUGAAGGUGGAGGGAGGCGGGGGAGGCUUCCCUGGGAGGUGACGGGAAAGCUGAGCUGUGAAGGUGCAUAGGAGUUAUUGGGUGUGUGUGGGGGUGGGGCAUGUGCGGUCCAGACAGAGGAGCAGAGUCGACUUCGGGGCCACACAGAGAAUGGAAUUCCCUUUCCAUGUGACAGCCCUUCACACAUCUGUAGGUGGCUUCUCCCCGGAAGCCUUUCUGUUGUAUUCCUGCCUUCUUCAGCUUUUCUGCCUAGGAUGUGGUUUCACAGCCUGUUUUCAUUCUGAGAUCCAGUUUGUUCGUAUCCUUCUUUUUCGAUAACAAUUUUAUUGAGCUAUAAUCCACAUGCAGUACAAUUCACUCAAAGUGUAUAAUUCAAUGAUUUUUAAUAUAUCACAGAAUUGUGCAACCAUCACCAUGAUCAAUUUUAGAACAUUUUCAUCACCCCAAAAAGAAACCCUUAUACCCAUUAGCAGCAGCCACUCCUCGUUUCCCCCACCAAUCCCAGCCCUGGGAAACCAUUAGUUGCUUUUGGUCACUAUAGAUACACCUGUUCUGGGCAUUUUUUAUAAAUGGAAUCAUACAGGAUGCAUUCUUUUGUUUAACUGCUUCUUUCGUUUAGCAUAAUGUUUUUAAGGUUCAUCCAUGUUGUAGCAUGUAUCAGUACUUUGUUUGUUUGUUUGUUUUUGAGACAGAGUCUCACUCUGUCACCCAGGCUGGAGUGCAGUAGCACCAUCUAGUCUCACUGCAACCUCUGCCUCCCAGGUUCAAGCAGUUCUCCUGCCUCAGCCUCCCAAGUAGCUGAGACUACAGGCACGAGCCACCAUGCCCUGGUAAUUUUUUGUAUUUUUAGUAGAGAUGGGGUUUCACCAUGUUGGCCAGGCUGGUCUUGAACUCCUGAGCUCAAGUGAUCCUCCCAUCUAGGCCUCCCAAGGUGCUGGGAUUACAGGCAUAAGCCACCACGCCCGGCCACUUCAUUUUUUUUUUAAAUUUACUUAUUUUUUUUUUUUUUGAGACAAGGUCUCACCCUGCCACCCAGACUAGAGUAGAGUGGUGCAAUCACAGCUCGCUGCAGCUUCGGCCUCCCAGGCCCAAGUGAUUCCCCCACCACAGCCCCCCAGUAGCUAGGACUACAGGCGUGCACCACCACACCCGGUUAAUUUUUGUAUUUCUUCUAGAGAUGGGGUUUUGCCAUGUUGCCCGGGCUGAUCUCAAACUCCUAGGCUCAAAUGAUCUGCCUGCCUCGGCCUUCCAAAGUGCUGGGAUUAGCCGGGUACUGUGGCUUAUGCCUGUAAUCCCAGCACUUUGGGAGGCUGAGGCAGGCAGAUCACAAGUUCAGGAGAUCAAGACCAUCCUGGCCAACAUGGUGAAACCCCAUCUCUACUAAAAAUACAAAAAUUAGCCGGGUGUGGCGGUGCGCAUCUAUAGUCCCAGCUACUCAGGAGGCUGAGGCAGGAGAAUUGCUUGAACCGGCAGGCGGAGCCUGCAGUGAGCCGAGAUCAUGCGACUGCACUCCAGCCUGGGUGACAGAGCAAGACUCCAUCUCAAAAUAAACAAACAAACAAACAAAACACUAAGUGGUGGGAUUACAGGCGUGAGCCACUGAGCCCAACCAGUCCUUCACUUUUCAUUGCUGGAUAAUGAUAAUAUUCCAUUGUAUGGAUAGAACAUGGUUUGUUUGUCCAUUAGUCAGUUGAUGGAUGUUUGGGUUGUUUUCAUUUUGGGGCUAUUAUGAAUAAUGUUGAUAUGGACCAGUUUGUGUGUGGAUGUAUUUUUUCGCUUCUCUUGGGUAUAUCUUAGGAAUGGAAUUGCUAGGGCAUAUGGUAACUCUAUAUUUAACCUUUUGAGGAACUGCUAAACUGUUUUCCACAGUGGGUACACAUUUUGUAUUCCUACCAACAGUGUAUGAGGCUUCUUAUUUCUCCACAUCAUUUCCAACACUUUGCAUUAUCUGUCUUUUUGAUUAUAGUCAUCCUUCUGGGUGUGAAGUGGCAUUUCAUUGUGUUUUGAUUGGCAUUUCACUUAUACCUUAUGAUGCUGGCAUCUUUUCAGAUACUUAGUGGACAUUUGUAUACAUCUUCUUUGUAGAUAUAUCUGUUCAGGUUCUUUGUCCAUUUUUAAAUUGGGUUAUGUCUUUUUAUUAUUGAUUUGUAAGAGUUCUUUAUAUAUUUUAGAUAUAACUCCCUUAUCAGAUGUAUUAUUUGCAAAUAUUUUUUCCCAUUCUGUGUGUUGCCUUUUCACCUUCUUGAUGAUGUCCUUCAAAGCAUGAAGGUUUUUAAUUUUUAUUAAGUCCAGUUUAGCCAUAUUUUUCUUGUUGCAUGUGGUUUUGGUGGCAUAUCUAAGAAGCCAUUGCUAACAUAAGGCCACAAAGACUUAUAUCUGUAUUUUCUUCUUUCCUCUCAUAAGAGUUUUAUGGUUUUACCUCUUAACGUUUCGGCUUUUUGUGCAUUUAGAAUUCAUUUUUGUAUAUGGUGUGAUGUAGGGGUUCACCUUCCUUGUUUUACAUGAUAUCCAGUUGUCCCAGCACCAUUAGUGAAAAGACUAUUAUUUCCCCACUAAAUUGUCUUCACCCCCUUGUCAAAAAGCAAUUGACUAUACAUGUGAGGGUUUAUUUCUGGACUCUGAAAUUCUAUUCCAUUGAUCUGUCUGUCUAGCCCUAUACAAGUACCACACUAUCUUGAUCACUGUGGUUUUGUAUUGAGUUUUGAAAUUAGAAAGUGUGAGUCCUCCAACUUUGUUCUUCUUUUUCAAAAUUGUUUUGUUUAUUCUGUGUCCCUUGCAUUUCUUUGUGAAUGCAGGGAUCAUGUUGAGACUGUAGAUCAUUUGGGGGGGCAUUGCCAUUUUAAUGGUAUUAAAAAUCUUCUCAUCCAUGAACCUGGAUUACCUAUGUCUUCUUUAAUGUCUUUCAACAGUGUUUUAUAGUUUUCAGAGAAUAAAUUUUUCACUGCUUUUGUUAAAUGCAUUCCUAAAUAUUUUAUUCUUGUGAUGCUAUUGUAAAGGGAAUUGUUUUCUUAAUUUUAUUUUUGGAUUGUUCAUUUCACAUCCCUUUUAAAACGUGGUCCCUGGAACCAUCAGAUUAGCACUGAAGACAGUGGAUGUUCACUUCAAACUUGUGGAUAUGAUUCUGUACUCUAACCUCAGACAAAGUUAAGCUUUUUGUGGAAGAGGUGAGUUGGGGUUGGGUGGUUGGCACACACAGCACACCAUUGACUCAUGUCAACAAAAGCCCCUCACACCUUUUUAAGUCGUCUGCUGCUAGGCCAUGCCUUCCUUAUUCUGUACCUGGGCAAGUAGCUCUUGGGUGCCAGAAAUAGCUCCUUUCCCUUUCCAUUGCAUAUUCUUGGGUCCAGGCCAUUGCUUCUAGUCUAGGAGUGAGAGUGAUUUGGAUGCUGAUUCUGACCCUGAGUCAUGACAUCUUUGUUCCCAGCCUAUCCACGAAUGCAAUAAACAUGGCCUCUUUAUUUUCAUUCAAGCCAGUGAUAAAAAUGUCCAAUGGGACUUUGCAAAGGAUAGAGGCUUGAAGUCCUGAAUUCAGAACCUCUCUCUGAGAACAUUAAAUUGUAGCCUCUGAAGAACCGUAUCCAACCAGUCCCCAAGCCAUCCAAUGGUCCAUGCACCAAAUUCAUGUCAACCCCAUUGAACUUAUCAAAUGCCCUACUGAAUUCAUAAACUCUUGAUCUCCCUCAUUUCUACCGGUCUCUUAAUCCUAUCAAGGAAGGAAACAAGAUUCUCUUGAAAGAGUAUUUUCUCUGUGAACCCACAGGGCGUCCUGGUGAUUCCUGCUUUCUGUAUGUUCAUAAGCCACAAAUCCCCUCUAACAAGCCAUUCCUGAAUUGUUUUCAUCAGCCAGUUGUUCUCUUAUCAUGAGAGAAUUAACCUCAGAUGGAGAAGCUGAGGAUCACCGAAGGGAAGGUCAGACAUAAGACUGGUAAGUGUGAAGGGAAGACUAGAACCCAAAGCUUAUAGUGGCAUGUCCUGUGCUUCCUCCACUGGUAAUGGAGAGAGACAGUUCCCGUAUGGACAAAGACUUGAGCAAGUGUGGAAGUGAGAAGAAACUCAGUUAUCCACAUCCCAUGUCCUCAGAUAAACCCAAGUGUACUACUUACUUUACACAAAGUGAAAUACUACUGCUCUAUACAAAGUGAUGUAAAUGCCUUAGCGAACACCAAAAGAUAGGCAUAGCACGCAAAGCUGUCUUUUAAAUCACAUUUGUGGUUUCAUAUUAUCUCAUUUAAUUCGGAUUCCUCUUAGGCCUGGAUUAUCUGGAUUACAUUAAUUCAACAAGCACCUACUCCUGUUUUUUCAGACCCAAUGGCAGGUUCUGGUGUUUCUGAGCUGUAAAGGGCAUAGUCCCUACACUGUGGGAGCUCCCAUCUGACAGGGAAGGUUGACAGGUGAGUCCAGCCCACUGUGGUAGAUGGUGACUUGCCGUGCCACUCCCUGAGGUCCAGGCUUUCCUCUCAUGCAGUCAGGAUGGCAAGUGACACGGGUGGAUCAGCGUGGAGCCACAAACCAGUCAACAGAUAAUGAUUUCACAUCUAUCAUAUGCUGAGCACAGUUCUACACAUUAUGCAGCACUGGAUAAAAGUACAAAUCCCUGCCCUCAUGGGGCUUCCAUUCUAAUGUAUGUAUGUGUGUAUGUGUGCAAAUCUGAAUAUGUUAAAUGAUAAAUGGUAUAGAGAAAAAAUAAAGCUGGAUGGGGAAUAAAGAAUGAUGGGCUAGAAAUGAGGUUGGAAUUUAAAAUAGGGGUUCUGGGGAGGCCUCCUGAGAAGGUGGCAUCUGAGCAGCAGCCUGAGGGAAGGUGGGUCAUCAAGCCAUGUGGCUGUCCAAUGGAGGAGCAUCCCAGGCCGAAGGAAGGGCUGUGCUAAGGUCCUGAGGUAGGAGGUGCCUUGUGUGUUAGAGCAAGGAGGCCACUUAGCUGGGAGAUGAGGCCACGUAGGGCCUUAUAGGGCCUGGCAAGGACUCCAGCUUCUCCUCUGAGGUGGGAAGCCAGGGUCUUGAGAGGGAGAGUGACACGAUCUUACAUUCUGUACUUAUAUUUUUGAAAGAUCCCAAAGGUCAUGUUGGGAAUAGACUUUGGUAGGAAGUGGGGUGGCAAGAGGAGAGGCAGCAAUUAUGAUGAUGUAGGUGGAGAUGGAACAGAUGUGAAUUUAGAGGAGAAGGUGGAGGGGUGAGAAGCAGACAGAUUUUGCAGGGGUGCAGGGGGAGGCCAUAGGAUUUCUGGGGACUGGAUAUAGUUGUGAAAAAGAGAGGAGUAAGGAUGAUGCUGGCAUUUUGAAGGGUGGAGUCACCAAUAUGAUGUGCCAGCAACUGGAGGAGGAGGAGUGGGUUUGGGGUGGAACCUGCUGAUUUGGAGAUCAGGUGUUUGGGGGUCUGUUUAUUAGAGUUACCUGUUAGACUGCAAGUGGAGAUAUGGUGAGCUCCGACUAGAAAUGUCAACGUGGACUCAUUAGCAUAUAGUUGGUACUGAACACCAAGAAAGCGGAAGAGAUCCCCCAAGGAAAGAGUGUAGAUGGGAAUGAGAGGUCUGAGGACUAAAGCCUGGGGCAUUGUCACAUUCAGAGCCACAGCAAUGAGGUGCAACCAGUGAAAAAGUCUGAAAUGCUGUGCCGGGAAUGAACAAGACAAGCAGGAGGAUGUGGUGUCCUGGAAAGCAAAUGAAGAGGAGAGGGUGGUGACUGGCCACGUCUGAUGAGGGCUGAGAACUGAUGCAAAGUCAUGGUCAUGUGACCAUACCAUUGGUGGAAACAGCAGGCAGGUAACACUCCUGGCUUCCUCCCACAGGAUCAGUGUAACCGCAUCCCUGACCAGGUGAUCACAGUGACUGUCUCCUGCACAGAUCUCAAACUCCACGCCUGUCCUCCCACCCCAUCAUGGUCCCUAAAAAUGGCAAAAUUAAUCUCUUUCCCUUUGAUACUCUCACGUCAACAAGUAUGUUGCUGUUCAAGAUGUUUGUCUCUUAUUUUUCCUUGAUUUUUAAUUUUUUAAAAUAUUUUGCUGAUCAUGUCAUAUUUGUCUAAUUCUAAUGGUACUGACUCAGUACAACCCAUUUUUACCAACUAAAAACACAUAAAUUGGCUGGGCACAGUGACUCACGCUGGUAAUCCCAGCACUUUGGGAGGCCAGGUGGGUGAAUUGCUUGAGCCUGGGAGUUUGAGAUCAGGCUGGGCAACAUGGUGAAACCCCAUCUUUACAAAAAAAUACAAAAAUUAGGCAUGGUGGCAUGUGCCUGUAGUCCCAGCUACUCAGGAGGCUGAGGUGGGAGGAUUGCUUGAGCCCAGGAAGUUGAGGCUGCAGUAAGCCGAGUUUAUGCCACUGCACUCCAGCCUGGGCAGCCCUGUCUCAAAAAACAAACAAAAAACCAAAAAAUCCUAUAAGUUGUUUACAAACAUGUAUGGCUACAUACAGAUUCCCUUAGAAGUUGCAUUUCCAUUAUACAUAUCCUACAGUAAUAACGAUUUUCCCACGUUGCCAUCAUUCUCUGAAUCAGUCUUACCCACCUAUCAUAGCCUGUUGAGGCUGCUGCAACAAAAUACCUUAGGCUGAGUAAUUUACAAACAACAGACAUUUAUUGCUCACAGUUCUGGAGGCUGGGAAGUCCAAAAUCAAGACACCAACUGAUUUGGUGUCUGGUGAGGGCUCGUUCCUCAUAGGUGGUGCCUUCUGUGUGUCCUCACAUGAACAAGCUCCGUCAGCUCUCUUUUAUAAGGGCACUAAUCCCAUUCACAAAGACUCCACCUUCAUGACCCAGUCACCUCUCAAAGGCCCCACCUCUUAAUACAAGCACACUGGGAAUUAGAUUUCAACAUAGGAAUUUUGCAGGGACACAAAGACUCAGACCACGGAACCCUCCUAUGUAAAGUGCAAGGGGAAUUGUCUGUUCUGCCCUGUCUGUUGUGGGUAGGGGUCAGGGGACCCAGGGAAUCUAAGAAGUGGAGCCAUCCAGAUGAGAGGGGCACAAGGGCUUCUCAACUGGAUGAUGGGCAUUUGGGGCAGAAAGGAAAGCAAAGGCUGAAUCUCAGAACUGGGAAAAUGCAGGUGAUUUUGGGACCAGUGAAUAAGCAGGGUGUCACGGGACACAGGGCUUGGGGGUGCUGCUUGUGAAGAAGAGGAAAAGUCAAGGGUUUCCCUUGUGGAGCAUCUGUCUCAGGGAGAAUGGGACCAAUGGAGACAGACACAUGGGAACAUCAGACCCAGAGAGACAGGAAUCCAGCGAGAGAGAGUGACAGGGGCUGCAAAGGGUUAACAGAGAAGGUCAAGGUACAAGCCUGGAAGCAGGAAGGGUGCCCUUAGGUGCGAUGAUUGCUCCUGGAGACACACUGCAAUGUGUUGGGGGUAAAUCUCUCACCAUUUUCCUUUUAUUUAAAAUUCUUACCAAGACAGAUUUUGAUUUUUACACUCACUGAUGGAAACAGAACCAUGAUUUAGGGAUCACAUACUCCCAUGUCCCUUGUCCUAACAUUUCUUAUCUCUGACAGUUACAUUUUUCCCUCUGGGACAUCAGACCACUGUGUCAGUGUGUUGUGGGGAGGUGCUUGUGGCCUUUGCUUUGGUGGGGACAGCACAUGGAGAUGUAACUGUGUCCCCCUUCCAUACGUCACUGCCAUUACAGUUUGCAUCAAGCAGCUGAGCAGAGCAGGGAAAAGAACCAGUGGGUGACCUGGGACACCACGAUCUGACUAUGGGGCGGGCCCAGAGUCUACCUCGCUGGGCUGGGGCACAAUCCUACAGGGGCCAAGAGAGACAACCUAUGAUGCAACUGUGUCCCCCUUCCAUACAUCACUGCCAUUAUGGCUGGCAUCAAGCAGCUGGGUAAAGCAGGGAAGAGAACCAGUGGGUGACCUGGGACACCACCACAGGGUAGGUCUGGCUGUGGGGCAGGCCCAAAGUCUACCUCCCUGGGCUGGAGCAUGAUCUUACAGGGGCCAAGAGAGACAACCUACCAAGGCUCGUAGGUCCCUGAUUGUGACCAAGCUCAUAUGCCAGGUUGAGGCAUUGAGACUUGAUUCUGUAGCUCAGGGAGAACCAUCCAAGUUCUCAAGGAGAGGGUGAGGUGGUCAGAUGUCUUCCUAGUUGGAGAGGCCCCUACUGGCAGUGUGUGGCCAGGGAAAGGUGAGAGGCAGGGAAGCCAGACAGGAGGCUGAUGCAGUUGCCCAGGUGAGAAACGAUCACUCCUAACUCAGGGCAGAGACCCUGGAGAGGAAGAGGAAGCUGGAGGGGAGAGUGUCAUUGUAAGGUCAGGUAACAGGAAUCGGCGCCUAAUUGGAGGUGGCGAAUGAUCCAGGAUGUCUGCCAGGUGUCUGACCAGGGCAACCGAACUGCUGCUGCUGCUCUCAGCAUCCGGACGGAAAGCAGUGAGAUGGUCUUGUAUCAUCUUCAUGUUUGCAGCUUAUCUUGACUGACCCACAUUCUUCAUGUUUGCAGAUUAUCUUGACUGACCCACAUUCUUCAUAUUUGCAGAUUAUCUUGACUGACCCACAUUCUUGAGGCAGAGGGUUUUUUUGGGGGACUUUGGGUGACAAGCCUGAAAUAUUUUAACAAUGGCCGCGAUUCUCCACUUCUCUUCAUUCUAUUGGCAGCCUGACACCCAUCGCUAUGGUGGUGGAGCACAGAGAAAUCUUAAAUAGAAGAUCAUUAUGUGUAGGUAUGAAUAUGCCAUCCCCCCCACCCCCACCCACACACACACACUGGAUUUCCUCUGCCAGAGCCUUGAACCGAGCGAAUAGAAGACCAGCCUGUCCCUGAACUUGACGGCAUCAGGAGUAGCUCCACUAAGGUCACCGCAGAAGGCUGUGCCGAGGGUUAGCACCCAGCACAGAAGCCGGCACCUUGUUCCCUAUUGUCUCUGGAAUGCCAUUGUUUUAAUUAAGCCGACUUUGUAGCCAGGGUUCAUUCACUACAGACAAAGCCUCUGUUAGAAAAAAUUAGACCUCAGAAACUUCUAGAGAGCGAGGGGUGGAGGGUGGAAUCACAAGCCACUGGCGGUAGAAGUUUCUGUUCUAAAUCCCCGGGAAAAAAAACAGCAAAUGGGUUUCUCCUUUUGUUAAUUGUAACAAAAAAAUAAUAAAUAUGAAGUAAAUCUGCAUGGUGGGGUGGGGGAAGGGGUAUAGGUUGCAAGAAUGAUUCUUUCUUUCUGCCUAAGAAAUACAGUUUAAACAAUCCAGAUGAUUCCAGCAAACUGUAGAUUUCAUGUUUCCACAUUCGACAGCAUAGUUGAUACAUAAGAAGGAAGAACGAUUUGAAUCGUGAUGUCAUGACUGGAGCUGCUGAUUGUUUUAACACAGCUCAAGGAUUGAUUUCCCCACCAGAAAAAUAAACUUAGCCUCAAUCCAAUACUGAGCAAAGGUGUUGUUGGAAGCGUUUUGUAACCCAGAGCAUAAAAAGUCAUCUUUUAAACCAUAGUACCAGAAACUGGCGAGGGCUCCAGGCAAUUUUAACCCUCUGGUAUUUCUCAUUAGGAAGACUUUUGUCACCCUGAAAAGAAGGAAAAACCCCAUUUAAAAAAAUCAUGAGUGGCAGAUUUUCAGGGAGACCACGCAGCUGCAACCAUCGGAAUUGGAUGUCGGGGCUGUUUUACGUGAGCAGGACGGCGCCGGUUAAGCUUUCAGGAGCUGUGUGUCUCACCAGCUUAAGGUUAGGAAGUCAGGUGCGUGAGCCACAUGGCGCCUUCUCUGCUCGCUCCUUCAGUGACAUGAUUUGGGUGCUGUGAAGUUUGGAGUUAGAGCUGCUAAAAACUCCAGGCCUCGGAGAAAAGGUGAAGAGUGCAUUGAUCAAACUGUAAUUUGGAACAUCAUUGCCUGGCACAUGGCCAACAUUCUCUGCCCCGUAUGCGGGGUGCCAGAGACCAGGCCAGGUGUCCUCUGCCUCUGGGGAUGGCAGCUGAGCAGGAAGAACAAUGGUUUCGGGAAUGUUUUAUAUAGUCACUCGUCUGUCAGGGGCAAGAUGAUAUGAAUGUGGCAGAAAGAAUGGCUUAUUUGGAGCUGGAAGGUCAGCGAUUGCUGAGUAAUCAGGCUGAGUAAGCCAGUGGUCUUUGCGUGAGGGCUGAGACUCCAGUUCUGGUAUGCCACUCACUCCUCUCUGCGGCCAGCAUGCGAGUUCCUUUCCUUCUCCAAGCCUCAGUUUCCUCUCCCAUAAGAUGAGGAAGUAGCACCCACCAGAGAGGAUGCGUGGGCUUUGAUGGAGGUAAUGCACCUGCACAGCUCAGCACAGAGUCUGGCCCAGUCAGUGCUCAGUGAGGAUUUGUUCCAAUCCACAGCCCGGCUCCUUCCUCUUAGGGCCGCGGGGGCCGAGAGGGAGAGCAGAAACACGAAUUCCCUGGAGAUACACAUUUUGUCUUACAGAUGCACUGCUUGGGAAUACAGCCCUUCCAACAACAAGCUUUCUGUUUUUGAGCCUUGUCAACAGCACAUGCCGAGCAGCAGGCAGAGUGCACUGAAAAGAAGGAUUUGUGGCUGGCAGCGUUUGGUGGGGGAGUUGGAGGGAGUGGCCCGAGGGAAAAUGACAGAGUCAGGGCCCUGCCAUGUUAUCCUAGAGAAUCUACUUACCUGUAUAAAACGGGGUAGCAGUUUCCUAGUUCCUUCCUGGGUUUUUUGCUUAUUUGUUUAUUUUACUUAUUUAUUUUUUUGAGACAGGGUCUCACUCUUCUGCCCAGGCUGGAGUGCAGUGACGUGAUCUCGGCUCACUGCCAUCUCCGUGUCCUGAGUUCAAGCAAUUCUCCUGCCUCAGCCUCCUGAGUAGCUGGGGCUACGGGCACGCACCACCACACCUGGCUAAUUUUUGUAUUCAGAAAAUUACAUGUGGAAAUGGGGUCUUGCCAUGUUGGCCAGGCUGGUCUCAAACUCCUGGCCUCAAGUGAUCUGCCUGUCUUGGCCUCCCAAAGUGUGGGAUUGCAGGCAUGAGUCCCUGGGCCUGGCCCUCUGUCUAUUUUUUUUUUUUUUUUUUUUUUUUUUUGUCUUUUGGAUCUGAGGCAGAGGAUAUCCACCACUCUGGGCAGAUUUAUAGGUGACCCAAAGUUGGAAGAGGCUGGCUGAUUGAUCAGCUGCUGAUUUCAAAGAUAUCUCAGAAAUAAGAAAAGAGCUGGUGCUAAUUAAAAAAAAAAAUGGGUAGGGAUAAAUGUAAAGUCGUGUACUUAGGUUCAAAAGUCAACUGUAAAUAAACUGCAUAACUGCAAGAAGAGGGGAUGGUGUAAAAAGAGUGUAGGGUUUAUCCCAGUUUACUGAAAAGAUCAGACUGCCCCUUUGCUGUCUGCUCUCCAUCUGAUGGGUUUUAGGAAACUAAGUCUUAGCUCUGGUUGAAGGGAACUUAUUCCCCCCUUUAUAACGUAGGCUGUAUUUUUAGAAAACAAAUUUGCAACCCAAUCACCCUCUCAUACAGAACAGGAGAGGUAUGUAACUUCCCAGCAAGGUGAUGGUGGUGAAAGAUGAUCCCAAUCUCGCAAUGGUCCGUGGUACUCAUUCCCAGAUGUCCUUACCUGGUGGUGAUUCAGCAGGUCCCAGAAAUGUCCUUUCUCUUUUGGCUCUGAGCUGUCUAGUCUGGCCCAAGUCCUGGUCUGGCCUUUCCACUAGGACACAGCUGGAUGAGGGGUCAUCAGGAAUACUGGGGAGGGAGGGUGGAGAGUGACUGCCAGCAGAGAAACUCCAGUUUUUACAGUUUAGCAAAAAUGUUCAAACCCAUUAUUGGCUGGAGUUGAGUGCAAAGUCCCAUGGGGGAAAAAGUUCAUCUUUGGUGCAGGUGGGUGUAGGUAGCAGAUGUGGCUUUUCACUUGCUGAGAUAUGUCACAGGUGAGCAAAGAUAAGGGAAAGGCUAGGAGGCAAAAAGGGGGUUCCUGUAUGGAUCCUCACCAACAGCUGGCCGCCCUCUGCCUUGGGAACUCCACUUAUAUGUCAGACCUUCCAUGUGUGACUUUAUGUCUCUUAGAAUCUUUUCUGGCUUCUCCUCUGUGCUUCUGUCUGAGUAUUUUCUAUUGAUUCAGUGAUCUUUUCUGCUCUAAUUGCCCUUUAAACCAUCUACUGACUUAAUUUUAGUUAUUCUAGUUUUCAGUUCUAGAAUUUUCAUUUAAUUCUUUUUUAAAAAAUAGAUUCUAAUUCUUUGCUGAAAUUCUCUGUCUUUUAAUACUUCCUCCAUCUUUUCCUCUGUUUUCUUGAACAUUCCUAUGAUAGCUUUUGAAAAGUCCUUCUUGGCUAAUUCCAGCAUCUGGAUUAUCUGAGGGUCUGUUCCUAUUGUCUUUUUUUCUUUUGGAUUCUGGUCAUUUGGUUCUGUUUGUCUGUCUGUUAUUCUAUUACUAGACAUUUCUAUAAUUUCUUUUUUUCUUAGCAACAAGGUCCCUCUCACUUUGUUGCCCAGGCUGGAGUGCAGUGGUGGGAUCACAGCUCACUGCAGCCUUAAUCUCCUGGGGUCAAGUGAUUCCCUUACCUCAGCCUCCCAAGUAGCUGGGACUACAGGUGCUCAUCACCAUGCCCAGCUAUUAAAAACAUUUUUUUUUGUAGAGAGGGAGGGUCUUGCUAUGUUGCCCAGGCUGGUCUUGAACUCCCAGGCUCAAGCAAUCCUCCCGCCUUGGCCUCCCAAAGUGUUGGGAUUACAGAUGUGAGCAACUGUGCCUGGCUUAGAGUUUUUAAUUGAAUGCCAGACAUUAUGUA